ACAAAAAAGAUGCAGAGCUUUCAGACCUCAAAUAAUGCAAAGAAAACAAGUUCAUAUUCAUAAAGUUUUAAGAGUUCAGAAAUAAUCAAUAUUUGGUGGAAUAAUCCUGGUUGGUUUUUAAUCACAGUUUAUUUUUUUAUGCAUCUUGGCAUCAUGUUCUCCUCCACCAGUCUUACACACUGCUUUUGGAUAACUUUAUGCUGCUUUACUCCUGGUGCAAAAAUUCAAGCAGUUCAGUUUGGUGGUUUGAUGGUUUGUGAUCAUCCAUCUUCCUCUUGAUUAUAUUCCAGAGGUUUUCAGUUUGAUAAAAUCAAAGAAACUCAUCAGUUUUAAGUGCUCUCUUAUUUUUUUUGUCUAGAGCUGUAUAAAAGUUUCAUGUUUGAUCAGAAACGUUACUGAAAUUGUAAAAAUGCUGAAAACUACUGAAGUAAAAAUAUAAUGAAUAAGAAUAUUAAAAAAAACUUCAAUAUUUUAGUGAAAACAAGUCAAACAUUUAAAACCAUCAACCUUUCAAUUCUAUACGGUUUUCUAGUUUUAAUAUUUAUUUUCAUAUUUAAGAAUUAGAGUUGAUUCCUCAUUUAAACUGAUAGAGAGUAGAGAGAGAACAGCUCUGAAUUCAUUCAUUCAGAAUAAAUUAUUUUACUGCAGAAUAAAAGUGUUUUAUAUCACAUUAACCUGUAUCCUGUAUUGGGGUCAGGGUGUUUAAAGGGUUAAUGAGUGAUCGGCUGCAGAAUCUCAGGAUUAAACAGGUUUAAUCUCUUUAUAUCUGUUUAUUGAUGAUGCAGCACUAAAGUAAUAAUAAGAGAUCAAAUAACAGAACUCAGUUUACUGAUCUCAGACCUGCUUCUGCUGAUCUCAGAUAAACACACAGAUCUACAGUCAAAUAUUAAAUAAACUUUAAAAAUGUAGCACAUUAUUAUUUUACACAGUACUGUUCAAAAGUUUAGAAUAUAGAAUAUUAAUGAACUAUUAAUAUUUAAUACAUUUUCUAAAUGACGCUCCCCCAGUUAAACUCCAGGUAUAUCUGUGAGGAUUAAUCACAUGGUCUAGAGCAGAGCUCUUCACUGCUGCUCUGCACAUUUUAGAGGAUUACCUGCUUUAUACAGGCUGCAAGUAGUUGGUAUUUUGGGAGUCGACUAAACUGACUAGUAUUAUUCCCGUGAGUCAGUUAGAUUAAUGUACAAUUAAACGAUUAUUCAAUGAUUAGUUUACCAUUAGUGAACAAUAGUGAACAAUGAGACGAUAUAAUAAUACACUCUAUAAGACAAUUAGUCAACAAUUAGCUGACCAUAAAUCUGUGAUAGUCAGCAAUUACACGAUUAGUUGAUGAUUAGUUGAUGAUUAGUUGAUGAUUAGUUGAUUACGCUCCUGUUCUGCACACCUGUAAUCCUCACCCUGGUUUCUCUGCUUAACAAAACAUGAGACUCAUUGUUGAUUUAUAUGAAUUAAUCUUUGCAGCCUUACUGUUUUACCACAUCCUCUGAAACACAGCACUGAAGAACUAAUCUACACUUUAAUACAGAAUAUUUACUGUUUAUUUACUUUAUCAGUAAAAGUGACGAGUGGCAGAUUUUAAACAUGUAGUUUAUAAUAUUAAUUUCUGAAUGUUAUACUUUAACAGACGCAGCGUUUAUUAUUAUUAUUGAACAGGGUGCACUAUCUUUUGCACUUUGGUACUGUUGCUUUCCUGCACAAACCUUGUAUCUCCGUUUAUUUGCUGUUUUUUAUGGUGUAAUUCUGUAAUCCUGCAGGAGUUCUUCACGUUUAUUUACAUGUAGUUAAUAAUUUUGAUAAUUCUUUAAUCAAUAUGUAAAUCUGUUUACAUUUUACUGUGAAAGCUUGUUUUUGAUCAUUCUGGAUGUUUAAUAUUCGGAGAUAUUUGUUCCUAUUCUUUAUGAUUUUCAGUCUGUAAUUAUUCAGAUUAUUAUUUGAUCUGAAUAAAUAAACUCCUGCUGAUUAUCUGAAAGUAAGCUGAAGAUAAUGGAGCUAAAGUUUAAUUUUAUACAGGUAACUUUAGUGCACUGAUCUGAUAUUAGAGUGAAAUAUUGAUUCUGAGAGACGGUGAGCAGCGUGUUUUAAUCCAGGUUAUGUUGAUUAUUAUUCAUUUGCUGCUGAUUGAUCUGUACCGAAAUAGAGAUUUAUUUUAAGAAUCAUGUUGACCAAUCAAACUGCUCAUCUGUAAUUCAGAGAUCUGUAAGAUCUGUUUAUGAGCUCUGGAGAAAAUAUAUAAAAUAAAAAAUAUAGUUUUAGAAUACAGGCUGUACCUCCUCACCUCGACCACGAGAGGGCCUUACUCACCUUUAUAUUAAUGUGCUGUCUGCCAAGAAGCCUGAAUUAAAUCAGCUCUUAUUUACAGUGUUUAUUUAAUAAGGUCCAAAUCCCUGUUUACUAUCCGAAUAUCAGCGGCCUUAUUCAGGAAUUAGACAUAUCAGAAACAGAGAAUCCGUUCUGUAAUCACGCACACAUUAAUCUCACUUUUAUACAUUUGUUUUAUUAUGACUCACAAAAAGCAGCUUUCUAUCGUUAUUAUUUUAUAUAAAUAUUUUAUAUAGAGUUAGACAUUCCAGAUCAUAUAUUUUCUGAACUAUGACAGUAAAUAAUAUAUUUACAGUAAAUAAGAAAUGUAUCUCCAUGAUGUCACUCUUAUGCUCAUUACUGAGUUUAUGGUGUCAUUUUCCAGCUCUCUGUUCUGAAUGUGUAUGUUUUGUAAGGAGUCGAUGCACUGUUUCUUUAAAUGUUAAUGAUAAAGAUGAUCAAAUGCAAAAGAAAUGAAUAAAUAAAUCAUUUUUCACUGAA